GCCACAGCAUGCGUGUACAGAUCUUUGGGGUUCUGGAGGUCUAAUUCAGGACAUCAAGCAAGUGCAGGUAUCCACUGAAUGAUCUUACUGGCCAUUGCUUCAGACCUUUAUCAGGAGUUGACAAUUGCAAUGGGGGAAUGGUGGCGAGAGGAUUUACAGUUGAUAUUUAACCAUCAGGGAACUCUCAGUCCCCUGCAUGUUUAUCUGUGUCUACCUAGGUCCAAGGAGAAAGCAGUACUUCUAGCUAACCAUUCACAAGAUACAAAAGGGGACUUGAAGACUGGUGCUACAGCUUCAUCAUAGGGCAGGGCUAUGGGGUAAUGAAAGAAACAAAAAUGAGACUGACUUGGGUAAAGAAGGGUCUAGCCUAACCUUGCAGUCUUGUCAGAAGGUUUAGGCAAAGGGGCUCUAGUCUUGUCAGUAUUUAAACCCCACUCAAAUUAUACAGUUUUCAGCAUUUUCUUAAGAGUAAGAAAUUGAUGUUAAGCAAGGUUUGAGAGGUUGGCUGAGAUUGCAGUGACAGAAAUGGAAUUUAAUCCCAUCCCUUUCUGCCCUUUGUUUUACAGCAUCAUGGUAUUCAGCUUAUAUUGAAUAAUACCAUGCAUUAACAGUGGAAGUUAAAGUUAAUGGUAUUUUGAUUAUUUUUUCAUAUAUACACUUCUUUGUUUGCAAAGAAUGGCUUUCAAGGAAUUAACCCUGAAUAUUCACUAGGUGGUUUAUAAGUGUAUAGGUCCUCGCCACUAAUCACACUGCCUUUUAUAUGUGUGACUUAGGAGAAAUCUAGAACUGUAUCUUUGUGCCUUUUUAUUUACAGUGAAAUUUUGUAAUAACUCCUAUAAGAUAAAAGUAUAUCUAAUUCAAAGUAUAUUUUAUCAUUUCCUCCUCUGCUCUGUGUGAUUGGUAUGAGAAGAUUUCAGACCCUCAAAGACCUUGACAGAGUGGGAUGGGGUCCUGCAGAGAGGACAGAAACAGAAUGACUCUUAGGUAGAAGAAAAGAAUGAGCAGUUCAUGAAAAGGGUCCACUCUACCAGGAAGCUGAAGGGAAUUUUUUCAUUGCUAGCAGUGAAACCGUGGACUACUCUCUAACCUGAGCAAAGAAAGAAACCCUGCCUUGUGGCUUUUCUUGCCUCCUUUGGUCCCACGCACUGGUAAUCCCAUGAAUUCUUGUGACAAGAAGCUCAGACACUGACAGGAGGCACUGUCUUAGGCACUGAACUGUUCCAGAAUCUCCUACUGUAGGGAGGAAAGGCAUUGUUGGGGGUGGGGGGACUGAAGCAUAAACCUAGGAACUGUAAAACUAGAAAAGGGGGAAAAGCAAAAUAUUGGAGCUAUAAAUUGUGUGUUCUUUACUUGCACAGAAAGCAUUCAUGUAAGGAAUGCAUUAAGACAUUUUGGAGAGGGCUGGAGAGAUGGCUCAGUGGUAAAGGGCACUGACUACUCUUCUAGAGGUCCUGAGUUCAAAUCCCAGCAACCACAUGGUGGCUCACAACCAUCUGUAAUGAGAUCUAAUGCCCUCUUCUGGUGUGCUUGAAGACAGCUACAGUGUACUUAUAUAUAAUAAAUAAAUAAAUCUUUUUUUAAAAGACAUUUGGAGGUCUUCAGUGUUAAGAAACUAUGUUCUGAGGGAAAUCAUUGGAACAGGUAGAUAGAAAAUGGGAUCAAUAGGCCAGAAUUUGGACAUGGAGCCAGUAGAAUUAAAUUCUAGGCUGCAGUGCUGAAAUUAUAAUCAUUGGUGAAAUUAAUAACUUCUCCUAGAUAAGGAUUAAAAUGUAUUUUUUACAGGGUUCCUAUAGUUAUUGAGUGUGAGAGUAUUCUCUUUCUCAGACUGAAAUGAGAAAGUGUGACUAUAAACAUUGGGGAAAGAGGAAAAAUUAGAGACAUACAAGAGACUGCAGAGAACAAGAUGUACUUCAGUGACUUCAAGCAUGAUUAGAAGGACUGCAUUCUCUAGACAUUCAUAUAUAGAUCCUUUUAAGGAGUAUCUUAGUUCUCCAUCGUUGUAAAAAGUACCUGGAAGAUCAACUUCAUAAGGAGAAGGUAGGUGUCCAUCCAUGGUCACUUGGUCCUAUUACUUGCUCAGUAUGCCCUGGGGGAAAUAUGUGGCAAACAAGCCCUCUUCCCUUCAUUUUAUGAAGCAAAGAACCAGGGACCAAGGUUCCAAUCCUUUUCAAGGAGUCAUCCCAGGGACCUAACUUCCUUCCCCUAUCCCUUGCCUCUCAAAGGUUCCAUGAACACCCCCCCCCCCCCAUAGUGUAAAUGGGCUCCGUAAGGUGAGCUUUUGGGAGAUUUUUUUCAGACUACCACAUCUUCUGGCUUCAUUCUUGGCCUGCUGAACUAGACACUCUGAACUAGGACCCACCCGAACUUCAGCAGAACCUCCAGGUCACACACGUGUGUUGAAACCUGGGAAAACAAACAAAAACAAAACCUCUGCCUCCAGGCUCUUGGUUUUGGUAGCAAGUUUUAGGAACUCUAGAACAUUGAAUAUCUCUCCUAAACAUCUUCUCCUUGGCUAUUUCUUUAAUGAAGUCUAGGUCCAAACAAGAACAUGGAAAAAGCUAAGGAAAACUAGUGCUGGCUUUGGAUCUACAAAUAGCAGGUGCAGAAACAUCACUGGGAGAGUUGUGCACGGCACUGCUCCCAGAUGCCCGCAUCCACGAUCCAUGUGUUAAAAAUAACCCUUACCUGGAGACUCAGGGCAUCCUCUUUGCUCCGUAGUGGGGGUCUCGAAUUCUCUGUAGGUGAUAAGAGCUAUAUAAGUAUUCUCGUUUGGUUUUCACCACAGCCUGGUCAAACAAGCACUAUUAUUACUAUGUCUGCUUGAGAAAUGAGGGCACUAUUACCCUUCAGAGGAAAGAGACCAACCUUGUGAGUCUCUAGCACUUGAGGGCAAGCUGUCUUACACCAGAUUCCGAGCCUCUUUUACUCUCUUCUAUAUAUAAAAAUUAAAAUAUGAAUUGCUCGAGGUAUGACUUUAUACUAAUAUUCAUGCUGCCAUCUUUCUUUAAUAAUACUUUUUUGAUAUUUUUAUUGUAAAAGUAAUAGAUAUUCACAAACUAGUCUGAGGUCCUCAUCUAAAGUUAUGAUUUAGAAAAAAAAAUAACCAGUACCCGAAUGCAUUGUAAUAGUAAGGAUGAUCGUGACUAUUUUGGUUCACUUCAGCAAACUGUGACCUGAGUUGAGUAUACUUAGGCAAUGCUGUAUGCCAGAAUCUCCUUACAGUGAUUUAUAACACACACUAAAGGCUCCAAAAAAAGCAAUAUAUGGCCAUUGUAUCCAAUUCAUAAUACUCAAAGAGUAUGUACAAAGUAAAGUUUAUCAUACACUAUUAUUGAUAUGUGUUCCUGGUGUCUCGCACGGUCUAGAGGACCCCAUAGCAUGAAAGCCUCACCACUCACUGACUCACUGGGGUUAAAUAGAGUUGAGAUUUAUAUGUGUUUGAUUGUGAAAUGUCCUCAGGUAGACAUUUACCUCUUCCAUUUACCUCUGGGUUCGUGAGCACCUUGAAGCGUGUGGAGAAGAGGCUUUCAAACAUCAAUAUGAGGUCACUUAGAUGACUUGAUAAAACACACACCACAGACUUUCUGAUUCAUCGGAGGGAGCUCAAGAAUUUUCAUUGUUUAACAGGGCCUCAGGUGAUGCUGGUGCAUCAGGUCCAUGGACAAAACUUUCAGGACCACUGUGACAGAGUCCUUCAAAGGAAAACUCUUCCAGUCUUUGGAAAUCCCUUAAAAGUCAAGCGCAAGAACAUAACCUUGAUGGAACCACUUAGAAGUGGAUUCAGUGGCAUAUGGUAGCAUGGUUAGUAGCACUCCUUUGUAAGCAGAUCCAUGUAUAAAACCUCUAUUCAGCUGUCCUCGUGUCUCUAUGACAACAGUAAAAGUAUAACAGAAAAAGAAGGAAAGAAGAGAAAAGCUGUUGACACCGUCGCUAACACAUCUCAGAUGUCCAGAGGAGUGUUGGUAGCAGUGGAGGGGACAGCAGGACAAGGCCAGUUAUAUCCAAUCAGAGGCAUGACAUCUCUCACCAAAGUCGAAUGAAUGUGUGACAUUUCUUAAGUGGGACCAAUUCUACAAGAGGAUGUUGAUGCCACUGGCACUUUUAAUGAAUUAUACAUGAUGCACUAUUUUAAAAUUUGGUGGAAAAGCGCCAUUUACCCUUACGAUGAGAGAUAUUAUAUAAGGAGUGAGGUUCUGGGUGAGUAAACAGGAGAUGGUACCAACAUAAUGGAUCACAAGCACACUCCCCUAUGGCCUCCAGGACUUGGCAGAAGACAGACAGGAGCUUUCCAAAGCAGAAGAGUAUCUCUUCUGUGGUUAAGGACUUUAUCUCGUCAGCCACUUUUACAGUGCAGCUUUACCAUUUCGAUGGAUUUGAGUUUUUAAUCUCCUACAUGCUGAGGUAAUAUUUAGCAAACUUUGCAUUCACUGGGGAAAAAAACAUUAUCACACAAGGUUCUUCAUUUUAGAAAAAUGUGAGUGUUAAGAUUAAGAAUUUUCAAAUAGGAAUGGGUGGGGUUCUAGGAGGAUUGGAAUCCUAGGAGAAUGUAUUAGUUAAUGAAUCAUCCAUCUAUCAAGAGAUUUCCCACAUUGCUCAGGGUGAUUAGAGCAGUGGGAAAGGCAGAUAGGUGUACACACUCCAGUCUUGAUCCUUAAAAAGCUUUGAAGUUGUGAUCAAGUCUCUCUUACUUUGACAUUUCCAAAACACUGAUCUAACCAUUUAUCCACCUUUUUACUGAGAUGACAUUCAGAACUUUGCUGUUUAAGGGGUUUCUUGGGGGAACAGAAUUUCCCUCAGAGAAGUUUCUUUGUGUUGUGGACUGUGGUUCACCCUCCCUCACAGUUGGGCAAACUGCAGCAAAUAAAGCAUCAGUAGAGCGCUUAGCCAAGGGCAGCAUGUCCGUGCCUCCCCUCCCCAACCCACAUACACAAGAAGGAAUCAACAGGGGAGAAACAGGACAGAAAAGGUGAGUUUGGAUAUGACUAGAGCAUGGUACUCAGGAAAUCACAGCAGCCAGUGAGGCCAACCUCUGAGGGGUGGGGGGGGGGGGUCAUAAGCCCCUACCCCUAACCGAGGAGCUCCUUUCAUGGGGAAGGAGGUCCUUUCAUUUUUUAAAGGAUGUGGCUCCCCGUAGGGUUGUCAGUGCGCCAGUGGAUGGGUCAUGCCCAUGUGUACACUGACUGCACAAAUCAUACUCAAUGAAUCAUUUGAAACAAACAAGCAAAAGACAGGAAACUUAGCGGAGGAGGUAAGGGUGGAUCAAGUGAGGAGGAGCAGAGGAUGAACACAAUUAAAAAUUCAUUGUAUGAAAUUCUCGAAGAAUUAGUAAAACCAUUUCUAUGUUUUUUUUUUUUAGAAAUUUUUAUACCCCUUCCCCCUCCCUUUUCUCUUUCCAGCCUCUACCAGCUUCCCUUCCUCAAACCCUUCCCAUGUCUUCCUUUCUUUAAAGUUGAUAGCCACCUUUUCUUAAUUGUGAUCAUUACACACACACACACACACACACACACACACGUAAAACCUGCUGGAUCCAUUUUUGUUUUUAGUAUAUGUGUAUGGUUUCAGGGCUGACCUUUCUGUAUUGGGCAACCAAUAAGAGGCUUCAUCCUUAGGAGAAUAUUCUUCAAGCAAUCAUUAUUUGCCUGUAGUUCUUCACUUAGUGGCGUGACACUGUAAAAUGUAUGCUCUUCCUUGUCAACAUUUCCAUUGACAAUACAGUGUUCUGGUCUUGCUUUACAUACGGUCAUUUCAAGGAGAACCUGUGUCACCACAGACUGUCUGGUGUUCUGGUUCCCAUGGUCUUUCCAACCCCCUUUCCACAGUGUUUUCUAUGCUAGGGACAUACGGAGCAGUGAUGUAGAUGAAGCCAUUGGGCUUGGUUCCCCAAGAUGUGUUAAUCUAUGCAUUGUGUGUAGCUGUGGUGUUCUGUGAUGUCUCUAUUACUGCUUGUUUUAAGGGCUUCUUCGAGGGUAUGAGGGUGAUAGCUGCUGCUCUUAUCUGCGGGUAUUAGAAGAGAAUUUAGAAUGUAGUAAGAAAGCACGCUGGUCUAGCAAAGCCUUAGCAGCAGAGUCUUUUUUAAGGUCCCCCUGUUGAGAGGGCCUUGAUUCCCAUUAGGUAACUCUUGGUUGCUAAAGACAUGGGAGUAUCACUUUUUGCACCUUUGUGUGUAUCUUGACAUCUGGGAAUUGUCCCAGUUUAUUGGUGCUACAGUUGUUUAAUGGCGUCCUUCCCUUGCCAGCUUGAAUUGUAUUUUCUGUAACCAUGAAAGCUAGACCACAGGAGAGAGACUUAACAGAUUAGAUCCAUCUUGAAUCCUCCAGGUCUUUGUGUCCGAAAGUGUGUAGUCUCUUCAGCAAUAGGGGCCUAGUCAUAUAUCAAUGUAUAAGUUUAGGUCAAAAUAAAAAUAAUAUGAUUUGUUAAAGCUUUAUCAAACAGCCUUAGUGUUAUUUGUCCCUUGUCUCUCUUCCUUCUGUACUGACCCUCAUCCUUCUGCCCAGUAGAAGCCACCUCCUGUAAAAGUAACUUUUAUUUUCCUAUUGUUACUGUCAACGCGGAGGAUUACUGCCUCCCUCUGCUAGCCUUGGCCUAGACCUGGAUGCCUCUAGCCUUUCUGCAAUCUAUCUUAGGCCUCGACAGUUUUCAGCCUCUGAGACUCACUGCUGAAUAAGCUCACCCUUUCUUGUUCUUUCUGAAUUCUAGCCUGCUGGUUCAAUUUAGCUCUUCUGGCUCAAAAGUCCUCUCCCAGCUGACUGGUCAAUCUGCCUUUUCUCUCAGCCUCUGAAUUGUUCUGCUUGACCUCAAACUAACUAGCAAUCUUUCGUAAUCUUGUGGCUCCUUCUCAUUCUCUUGCUUGUUCUGUCUUUACCUGUGGCCGGCUUGUUCACUUUUCGAUCUGUCUCUGUAAAACUCUCCCGGUAAAACUGCCUCCUUAUCUCUCACCUCUACUACAGUGCUCUCCACGAACCCUACUGUGUUCCUGUACUGUCUCUCCCUUAAGUACUUUCUUUCUUCUCAUGAGAACUGGGCAUGUCCUAUUAUGUCAAAUCUUUCUCUGAUUCGUCACUUUGUCUGCCACUCAGUUAAACAUCACUUUCAAACAUGGAAGCUUCCUUUUACAAACUAACUUUACCUUCAUUGUUUGGCUUUAGAGAUAAGGGGUAGAGGCAUGUCUGUAUUUCAUCUAGAGGGAUUAAAGGUGUGUGCUAAAGGCUGAGCCACGUCUUAACUAGAAACAAGUCCAAAUAUCCUGUAACAACCUCCCACUAUUCCAUCCCCUACUUCGUAUCGCCUUUAUCCUGCUAUACCUCCCUCAGCCCAACUUAAAUGGCCCCUUUAUAGCUUUCUGACUUCUGCGGCCAUUUGAUGACGUAUAUUCACUUCUGAGGAUUUGGAAUUAGGAAACACAGAUAAGUCAGGACAUGUGGCACUUCUCUUUCUGGGGCUGGCUUACCUCACUCAAUACAAUCUUUUCUGGUUCUAUAAAUCCACCUGCAAGUUUCACUUGUCUUUGCAGCUAAAUAGUAUUCCAUGGUGCAUCUGUAUCACAUUUUCAUUACCCAUUUAUCUGUGAAGAGAUAUUCAGAUUCUUUCUAUUUCCUGGCUAUUAUAAACAUAGUAGCCAUGAACAAUGCUGACCAAGUAUCUGUGGAGUAAGAUGUGGGAUCCUUUGGCCAUAUGCUAAGGAGUGAUAUAGCUGGCUUAAAUGGUAGGUUCGUUGUUAGCUCUUUAAGGAUUCUUCAUACAGAUUUUCCAGAGUGGCUGCACCAGUUUGCAUUCCUCCCACCCAUGAAUAAGGAUUCCUCUUUCCCUACAACCUCACCAGCAUAUGCUGGUCUUAGUCAUUCUGGCUGGGCAAAAAUAAAAUCUCAGUGUUGUGUUAAUUUGCAUUUCCCUAAUGAAUAAGAAUGAUGCACACAUUUGAGAUAUUUCUUAGCCAUUUUUAUUUUUAUUUUUUUAAAUUCUCUCAUAUACUAUGUCCUGAGCACAGUUUCCCCUCUCUUCAUUCCUCCCAGUCUCCCCUGCCCCCCAAAUCUACUCCCCCUCCAUUUCCCUUCAGAAAAGAACAGGUCUCCCAGUGAAACAAAUACAGCAUAUAUAAGAUACAGUAAGACUAGGGACACAUCCUCAUAUCAGGGCUGGACAAGGCAACUCAGUAUAAGGAAAAGGUCCAGAAAAAGCAGGCAAAAGAGUCAUAGACAACCCCCACUCCCAUUCUUAGGAGUCCUACAAGAACAGCAAGCUACACAACCAUUAUAUAUUUACAGAGGGCCUGUCUCAGACCUGUAAGAUCCCCGGGUUGUCACUUCAGCCUCUGUGAGCCCCCGUGAGCCCUGCGUAGUUGAUCUGACAUUUUUAGUUCUUAUUUUGGGAAAGUUGUAUAGAUCCCAAGCCCUUUUUUAAUUUGGGUCAUUUGUUCUCUUGCCUCUGCUUUUUUUGUUUUGCUUUGCUUUGCUCUAUCUUGCUCUGUUUUAGUUCUUUUAUAUUCUGAACAUUAGUCCCCUGUCAAAUGUAUGGCUGUCAGAGAUUCUCUUCCAUUCUGUGGAUUUCCUCUUCAUGAGAUUUAUUAUAACUGCUGUAGCUGUACAGAGGCUUUUUAGUUUUACGUGGUCCCAGUUGUCAUUUGUAGGGCUAAUUCCUUUAAAAGAAAGAAAGAAAUGCAGAGUUUGGGGCCUAAUCUCAGAACCCUCAAACAGAGUCUACCUUUUCAUUUCCAAGCCCCCACCCACCACCCCAUGUUGUAAUUUGAGAGAAGCCCUACAAUAGAAAACAGAGUCUGAAGCAAGGAUUUAAGUUCUAACUUUAUGUGGAAGAGCAAGCCCAGGAGAGUAAGAACAAAGACCAAGGCCAGCAGCUCUCAACCACUGUGCAUGAGCACAGAAAAGUAUCCUUUCAAAGGAAUGGCCAACACCCCCUGGAACACACAGAUAUUUACAAAUGUUUUAUAACAGUAGGAAAAUUACAGUUGUGAAGUAGCAACAGAAAUAAUUUUAUGAUUGGGCGUCACCAAGACAUGACUGUGUUGAAGGAUCGCAGCAUUAGGAUGGCUGAGAAGCCCAUGUCAAAGGAGGGUAAGAUAAGGAAGCCACAGAACCCCGGGAUGGGCCUGUCUGCACGCCUGGCUCACGGACUGGAAUGGCACAGUGGGUGCAUCCGUAGAUGGCUUUUCUCUGUAGCUGGAGCUCCUCCCUCUACCCAGAGUCUGCAAGCUUCCCACUCACCUCUGCUCUCCUCAGGUUGAUCUUCACACUGGGAGCUGAUACCUCUGUUCUUCAGGGUAACAGCACUCAGGGCUGAAGGUAGACAGGUGGCUCUAGGUCAAGAAGGUAGAAAUGGGAGGUGAUUACAGAUUAAGGGAUCAGAGAGUUCACACAAUUUGAGUCCGAGCAUAGAGGAUUAUGGGUAGUCCUGUGCAGUUAAGUCAGUAGAAGUGAAUAGGAACCACAUUUAUUAAACCACGGAACAUCUUCCUCUGGCAAAGUAAUUCACUGAAGGAUUGUCAGUCUUAACAAGAAAUCGUCAUCACAACUUGGAGUAAAUGAAGUCUUUUACAACACUUCCUGAUCCUCCCUGAUUCCUGAGUUAUAAUCCUCCUGUUCCUUCGACAUCAUUCAGGACUUACAUUCUAUUAGCUCUGCUCUUAGCUUUGUAUUUCUAGCCCUGCUUCCUCACAAUUACCAUAAGCAAACCUGUGGUAUGCUUAUAAUAUUGCCCGCACCUCAGAUAUGCAGGCUCAUCCUUAUUCCCACAGUGUCCUAGCCCAAAACAUGCAUCAAGCCAUGUCCCUACAUGUGCACAAGCUAGAAAUGAGGUCUAUAAUUAACCAAAAUAAUCUAGGCCAGAAAGCUAGUAGGCAAAGUAUUGGCAACAUCGGUGACACCAGAGAAUGAGGGACGUCUCAGACCAAAGAGAUGCUAGUAGUGACUCUCCCAAGUGUGUCAGCCCUGUGAGAAAGGCUGACUCACACCACACAGAUUUCACCCAGCAUGGAGUCCUGAAAGAUUAUGAAAUGGGAAAGUACCUAUCUGUCGUGAGAAACUACCAUGGAGAAUAUAGCUUUUUAUCUUUACUAUUUCCUCCAUCAUUCAAAAAAAAAAAAAAACUCAUAGGGCUCUGGUGCUCUUAAAAUGAAAAUUUCUCCAGUUAUUUCUAUAAAAGUGUCCAUUUUAUCGAGGAAAGUCUUUUCAAGUACAAUAAGUAAAAGCGAGAAAGACACACAGCCGUGGAAUUUUGAGUCAUCUGCCUGUUUAUGGACAGUAAAUCUCCCUAACCUCUAGGGUUUGGAAAACUCAAGAUUUCUGCAGCUGAAAAUGUAGAGAGCCCCAUUUCUCUCAGAGCAAAAGAAAUUAAACACCUAGAGAGACACCAGGCUGAAGCUGCUUCUGAGGCAGCACUGGCCGGCCAGGUGCAUGCGCAGGCCUCGAGCUCGUACCUAUACUGUGCUCCACAACGGUCUUCGCGGUGUCAGCCCUGAGCUCUAGAUGUUUGUCAUGUCCUGAGGAAAGGGUGUCGUUUUGAAAUUCCAGGCUCAAGCCUGUGCACCUCAGCUAACCGUUUCUCAGGAAAGCAGCAUAAAUGGUAACAGACACGGCCUGUGUCCUUCUACAAAUGUGUUGUCGGUGAACAUUUCACUUCUUACUCCUGAAUAAAGUUAAUAACAAUCCCCACUUACACGAUCAUUUCUGUGUUCACAUGAUAAUGGAUAUUUAUUUCCCAAAGGCGGUUCAUGAUCUAGUUCUGGAUUCAGAAGUACUGAAGAUUAUUCCUCACUUAUAUAAGAACAUUCUCUUCUAAAGAGUUCACGGGUCUCAGGGUGACGAAGCCUCUGCUAGGAGGAGAGAAUGUUGGCUUUCUUGAUGUGUCUGUUCUCUUGGUUUGAGCUACUAGCAGCUCUACACCUCAGUAACAUUAAUGUCCGAUAAGGUAAAAUCUGCUUUUUCACCUGGAAAGACCAUACUUGAAGACAUGAGCUAGCCAGUGGCUUGGUAGCUUCGCUCUAAUUAUUGGAGCCUUUUGAUAGUUUAUGAAAAUGAAUGCAUUAUCUAUCUUAGGGGACAAAUAUCCAUGAGUUCUGACCAUUCACUUUCACAUCGAACCAAAUCCUUCAAUAAUAAUUACUCAGAUAGACCCUGCCACUGCACACAUAAUACAAGUGUUGAGACCUUCUGUCACCAUGUUGGUUAGCAGUGAUCUAUGGUAUUUGAUGACCCAACAGGAAUGAUAUGCUGUUAGGUCCCAUUUUAUAACUGGUUAUUCAUAGAUAUUCUUCUAAUCCUACAAAUAUAGAUACUUUAAAAUAUAGUUGUUAACAGCUGAUGAUUCCAAUAUAAUUUUCAGAAUUUUGCACAUUUUAAGAGAGAUCCUUUAAAUUCAUAGACAGUUAAUAAACAAGAACGUAUAUCAUAGAUAACAUAGCACAGCAAACAGUGAGCCUAUGUCCAGAGUUUUAAUCUUAGAGUAAAUAGUCUGAAAAAAACACGAAGUGUUUUUAUUCAGCCUAAAAGUGAAUGUUGAGAUGUAGCAAAAUAAAACAUUUUUCAUUUUUUACAAAAGCCCUGUUAUUAACUCUGAUGUAUGUAUGUAUAUAUACAUAUAUAUAUAUAUAUGCUCUGUUUUAAUAUUUCAAAACAUAUUGCUGUACAUUGCCAAACUCAUACUGCAUGCAUUAAGCACAUUGGGAUUAAACACAUUGAGACAGGUACAGAGACUCUCGUGUAGAAGAUAUGGCAUUGUUAAGCCAACAGAUGAGACAGCCAGGAGCAGAAAACACAUCAUCUGAGAAUAUUUUAAAAUAUGCAACUUGGGAAACAAAUUACUCCACAGUUGUGUGCCUUGCUUCAAAAUAAAACACUCAUUUUUCCCUAUGCUGCAGAAUGUGAAGUGGUCUUAGACUGAGUUAAAAAGUUACAGAGGUAUCUUGAAUUUUUUAAAUGCCAUUUUCUUUGAAUAUAGAAUUUGACACAUCACCAUAGCCCAAAAUUUAAUAAGGAUAGGCUUUACAAGAAAGUUUCCUCAAAAACAGUCUCAUAGUUUUACUUUGGAAGAAAUUAAAAUAUACAUGAAUUAUUAAUUUUAAACAUUAAUAAUAUAUCAAAAUAUUUACUUUGGGAAAAUCCUCUGGAUAUUAAGCCCUAGUGGUAGCUUGCAUUUGUUUUAUAUAAAAAAGGUUCAAAAGAGAGUACCAACAUAAAUAUUUUUAUAUUAUCAGAAAUGUUGGUAGACAUUCUGGGUUCCAAGUAGACCUGUCUUGUCAGUUGACUCCGGCAUUCUAGAAAGCAUGUUGAUUCUUCUAUCAGGAUGAAUGGAACAUAAUCUUUUAUGCUUAUUUCCUUUCCUUUCUCCCUCUUCCUGACAUUCCUACCGUUUACCAUACAUCCUCUCAUAGGAAAUCAAUUCUU